CAAUAAAGGCGCCCUCGGGCGCCGCCUGUCUAACAGGAAUUCUUGUGUUUUGUACCAUUGUUGCCUCGGUGGGCUUGCCCGCCGGUAGAGGCCCCAUUCAAACUCUUUGCAAUUGCAGUAUCAGUCUGAAAACAAAAACAAAUAAUCA
rnacentral:misc_RNA from 1 species